rnacentral:rRNA from 1 species
UACAGAGGGUGCAAGCGUUAAUCGGAAUUACUGGGCGUAAAGCGUGCGCAGGCGGUUCGUUGUGUCGGCGGUGAAAGCCCCGGGCUUAACCUGGGAAUGGCCGUUGAAACUGGCGAACUGGAGUGUGCAGAGGGGGUGGAAUUCCGCGUGGUAGCAGUGAAAUGCGUAGAGAUGCGGAGGAACACCGAUGGCGAAGGCAGCCCCUGGCUAACACUGACGCUCGAGGCACGAAAGCGUGG